rnacentral:rRNA from 1 species
GACAGAGGGUGCAAACGUUGUUCGGAAUUACUGGGCGUAAAGCGUGAUGUAGGCGGCUACAUAAGUCGGAUGUGAAAGCCCCGGGCUCAACCCGGGAAGUGCACUCGAUACUGCGUAGCUUGAGUCUCGGAGAGGUUGGUGGAAUUCUCGGUGUAGAGGUGAAAUUCGUAGAUAUCGAGAGGAACACCGGUGGCGAAGGCGGCCAACUGGACGAAGACUGACGCUGAGACACGAAAGCGUGGGGAGCAAACAGG